rnacentral:rRNA from 1 species
UACGUAGGGGGCUAGCGUUGUCCGGAAUCAUUGGGCGUAAAGCGCGCGUAGGCGGUUCGGUAAGUCCGCUGUGAAAGUCGGGGGCUCAACCCUCGGAUGGCGGUGGAUACUGUCGGACUAGAGUACGGAAGAGGCGAGUGGAAUUCCUGGUGUAGCGGUGAAAUGCGCAGAUAUCAGGAAGAACACCCGUGGCGAAGGCGGCUCUCUGGGACGGUACUGACGCUGAGACGCGAAAGCGUGGGGAGCGAACAGG